rnacentral:tRNA from 1 species
CCCCCCGUAGCUCAGUGGCAGAGUGCUCCACUUAUUCUUAUCCACAAGUAUUCUUAGGAGAAGGCCGCGGUUCGAGUCCGCGCGGGGGGA